rnacentral:rRNA from 1 species
GAUGAACGCUGGCGGCGUGCCUAAUACAUGCAAGUCGAGCGAACAGACGAGGAGCUUGCUCCUCUGACGUUAGCGGCGGACGGGUGAGUAACACGUGGAUAACCUACCUAUAAGACUGGGAUAACUUCGGGAAACCGGAGCUAAUACCGGAUAAUAUAUUGAACCGCAUGGUUCAAUAGUGAAAGACGGUUUUGCUGUCACUUAUAGAUGGAUCCGCGCCGCAUUAGCUAGUUGGUAAGGUAACGGCUUACCAAGGCAACGAUGCGUAGCCGACCUGAGAGGGUGAACGGCCACACUGGAACUGGGACACGGUCCAGACUCCUACGGGAGGCAGCAGUAGGGAAUCUUCCGCAAUGGGCGAAAGCCUGACGGAGCAACGCCGCGUGAGUGAUGAAGGUCUUCGGACCGUAAAACUCUGUUAUUAGGGAAGAACAAAUGUGUAAGUAACUAUGCACGUAUUGACGGUACCUAAUCAGAAAGCCACGGCUAACUACGUG